CUUUUUUAUCGCUGCUGUCUGGCUUUCCAGGCUUUUCCAUCCUCCACGUCUUCGUAUAGUGCAGCAACAGUUCAGACGCAGUAUUCAAAGGACAGCACUGCAGAACAGACACUUCUCUGAUGGCUGUGAAGGAAGUUUGGAAGGCUGAGAGCGUGAGUGAAGUUUAAAGGGUAUUUUCUGUGUUACCUGCCAAAAGAUGGCGCUGAGCGACAGGCGGACAGACGCUGACGUCACCGUGUGCUGAAGGUCAGCAGAGCAGCUGUGGGACUCAGCGUGUCACUGCAAAUCAGUCCUGUUAACAGUCCUCAUGUUACAAUAAACAUGACAGUCACAGAGGUGACUGUGUUAUUACACACGUGACCUGAGUUGUGUAUUAUGGUGUUUCAGCUGUUUUUUAAAAAGUACAUUUAUUUAUUUCAGUAGCUAAAAUUACUUUAAAAAGCCCCUAUUUUUUAUACCCUACAGAUAAUGUUCAGUGUUUAACUUUCAGUUAAUAAAAUACAGUGUUGUACUCUAAAUGUGAUGCAUGCUGAAUUAAAGUUGUUAUUUUUAUUUUAUUUUUUUUUGCUUAAACAUUUUCUCUUGUACUUUGAAAGUUUUAGUGCUGGCUGUGAUUUUGGCAGGAAUGGUGUUCAUGUAGUAAUUUGCGUGUAAUAAAAAGAACAGCUGAAGAGAAA